rnacentral:rRNA from 1 species
UGCGGAGGGAUCAUUACACAACAAAAUAUGAAGGCCUGGCUUUCGCGGCCGGCUGAAGUAUUUUUUUCACCCAUGUCUUUUGCGCACUUGUUGUUUCCUGGGCGGGUUCGCCCGCCACCAGGACCAAACCAUAAACCUUUUUUUCUUAUGCAGUUUCCAUCAGCGUCAGUAAAAACAAUGUAAUUAUUACAACUUUCAACAACGGAUCUCUUGGUUCUGGCAUCGAUGAAGAACGCAGCGAAAUGCGAUACGUAGUGUGAAUUGCAGAAUUCAGUGAAUCAUCGAAUCUUUGAACGCACAUUGCGCCCUUUGGUAUUCCAAAGGGCAUGCCUGUUCGAGCGUCAUUUGUACCUUCAAGCUUUGCUUGGUGUUGGGCGUUUUUUUGUCUCCCUCUUUCUGGGAGACUCGCCUUAAAACGAUUGGCAGCCGGCCUACUGGUUUCGGAGCGCAGCACAUUUUUUGCGCUUUGUAUCAGGAGAAAAGGACGGUACUCCAUCAAGACUCUACAUUUUUCACUUUUGACCUCGGAUCAGGUAGGGAUACCCGCUGAACUUAAGCAUAUCAAU